GAAGCCGGCCAGACCGCCGCUGGUGCGAUCACCGAAAGGUGGCACUGGAGGAAGGUCCGGACUGCACAGGGCAGCGCAGGAGCUAACGACUCUCCACCGUGAGGUGAGGAUCAGAGCAACAGAGACGAGUCGGAUCGGAGCGCGAGCCCCGAUCCGGGUGAAACGGGCAAUCUCUGCGUGCAGCAACACCAAAUAGGCACACGUUGAUCCGGCCCGGGGAGUGUGCGGGUAGGUGGCA
rnacentral:RNase_P_RNA from 1 species